GACGUAGGUGGCAAGCGUUGUCCGGAGUUAUUGGGCGUAAAGCGCGCGCAGGCGGCCCAGCAAGUCCAUGGUGAAAGCGCCCGGCUCAACUGGGUGAGUGCCGUGGGGACUGCUGAGCUGGAGGGGAGCAGAGGCGAGUGGAAUUCCGGGUGUAGUGGUGAAAUGCGUAGAGAUCCGGAGGAACACCUGUGGCGAAGGCGGCUCGCUGGGCUUUACCUGACGCUGAGGCGCGAAAGCGUGGGGAGCGAACCGG
rnacentral:rRNA from 1 species